GUUAGAAUUUAUUCUUAAUACUUUUCUCAUAGUUGCGGAUGCUUGCGGGAGGCUGUGACGCCCGGAUAAUUAAGCUAUAGUAACCCUCUACUAAUGAUGCCACGUCACCACUGUUACUGUUACUAAACUCACUCUGAUUAGAAUCCCGUUCGAAUUCAAAAUUUGAAAUCAAGUCAAAUGGUAAAGGUUUUCAAAUAUUAAAACUAAAAUGUUCGGUGGGUUGCAAAUAUUCACUAACAAAUUUUCAUGAAAUAAUUAACAUGAUUCAAAAUAUAAAAUUUCCCCUGGACAUUAAACAAUGGAUCAACAUCCAUUUAACCAACCAUUUCAAUUUAUAAAAAUGUUUAGACGAUUCCAAUUGUUGUGAGACUUUUUAUACAUCACCAAAAUAUUGCAAUGGAAUUACGUGCCAAGUUUCAACCCUGGAAAAAUUCAUCUAGUACACAAACUAAAUGUAAAAUAGUGAAUAAAAUACAAAAAAAUAAAAGAAAAGAGAAAUAGGAAAAAUAGAUCGUGCAUUUUGGGCCCAUAUGCCAAAGUGCAACCCAGCCCACCGCCCGAGGCGUCCCUUUCCUCUGUUCACCGCGCACCUCAUGGACGCAGGGCGCAUGUCCACGGCGCCGAUUGCCACGGGGUAGCCAUCCGGACCGUCUCACGUGCCUACAAGCCCCCCCCCCUCGCUCCCCUGGCUGAUGCCCUAGCGCCAGCACUUCCCCCCUCUCUCCUCAGAUCCGCCGCUCGACGCACACCCGAUGCCAUCAUCGCCAUGGACUAGUUCAUCGCCGUGACCACCGUCGUCCUCGCCGGCUGAGAUUGCGCCAAGAGCUCCGCCUACUUCUUCUUCUUCCACUCUGACCACCAGCACAAGCCGGGCGACGCUACACCGCCGGAUCUCCGUCCUCUUCUUCCUCGGACCUGCCAGCGUUCGUCUUUGAUUCCAGCGCCGUCGAGCCCUUCUCGAGCCCGCUAAGCACCUCUGCAGACUCACGGUGAUCCCCUUUUCAAAACUCCUCGGUUCCUCCUUAGAAUCCGUGCCCGUAGCCUAGCUUCCGCCAUUGACGUAGCUCGUCGCUGCCGCCAUGUCGCCCCCACGCGCACAACUACCGCAACUCACGCCUGAGCACAUCAUCGUGCUCAACAUCGCCGUAGGAACCCUUAGCGAUCACCCGUUGGUCCUAUCGUGCCCUCCAUCGCCAUUCCACCUCCAUGGCCAGUGCUCUGUUCCACGUCCACACGCACACAACCACUGCUGGCCCUGCUCGCGUUGCUCCUCCUACCGCGGCCCGUCGCGCGCGACCACGCACACGCUCGCCCGCCCACAUAUGCCCGCGCCGUGCCUAUCGUCGCUCACCCACUGCCGCCCCUGCCUUGCUUGGCCGCGCUCGUCACAAGCUCCUAGCCGCGCUCGCCGAUGCGUGCUGCGUCGCCACGCGCGACCGGGCCGUGCCUCGUGCGCAGCUGCUAUUGCUACCCGCUCGCUUCUGCUCUGCUGCUGCUGAAAUCACUGCUUCUUUGCCACUCAGACCGCUGUUGCCGCGACUGUGCUGCUGCUCCUGCCAUUGCCACACUGCUUGGCCUCGCCGUUGCUGCUAGCUCCGCCACUGACUGUUGCCGCUGCUGCUUCUGCCUCGUCCACCCGCCAGCCACGCCCGCCUGCAUCUGUCGGGCGCCCCUUGACCGUGCUGGCCACGAGCCCCGCCACCGCACCUGGCCCCGCUACAGCUGCUGACCCCUCCACGCGUGCGCUCAAGCAGGCCCGCGCGCCUCUACUCGCCGACCGCGCCGCGCGUCCAGCCCCCCUUCUCUGCCCGGCCUCUGCUCAACGGAGCUCGCCGCUGCUCGCCGCCCACUGCCGCUAGUGGCCUUCUCCUUGCCCACACGCCCAACGCCCGCUAACCCGCCCCGAUUGGCCUAUGGGCCAAUGACAGCCGGGCCCCACGCCCUGUUAAGUUAAAAAAACAAUAAUAAAUUAAUUAAUUAAUUAAUUAAAUUAUUAAUUAACUUAAUUAAUGUUGCUUAAUUAACCAGUUAACUACCUAAUUAGCCUAACUAAUCAUGUUAGUUAACUAGGCAGUUAAUAACAGGGGCCCACCCCCUGUUGGCCAGUCAGAGUUUGACCGGUCAACUAGGUCCCCUGGUCCCACAUGUCAGCCAGUGUACAUUUUUGUGUACACCGUGCUGGGUACAUCUAGCAAUUUAACAUUAAAUUUUCGAAUUAAAGUAAAUUAGAAAGUGAACUAAAACUUUCAAAAUUAAUAUAAAGUAAUCUCUAACUCGGAUGAAAAUACUUUGUACAUGAAAGUUGCGCAGAAGGACGAGACGAAUCUGGAUACGUAGCCCGUUCGUUCGCCACACAUCCCUAGCAUAGCGAACAUGCAACAAUCCACCUCCGUUUCAUUUGCCCCAAAACGUCAAACACUGGGAAGACAUUCCCGAAUGUUUUCCCCCUUCGCCGGGAUCACCUAUUCCUGUGUUAGGUCACUUCUAGCACCGUGUAUUGCCAUGUUAUACUUUGUGAUGCUUUGAUUGCUCUGUUAUUUAUUGUGUUCCCCUCCAUUACUUCUUUCCCGUAAAUCCUGAGACCGCUGUCGGUACCCCUGUGAUCGACUACAUCGACGACGAACCCUUCUUGCCAGAGCAACCAGGCAAGCCCCCCCUUGAUCACUAGAUAUCGCCUAUUCUUCUCUCUACUGCUUCCAUUAGAGUAGUGUAGCAUGUUACUGCUUUCUGUUAAUCCUAUUAUGAUGCGUAGCCUGUCCUUGCUACUACUGUUGUUACCUUUACCUGCAAUCCUAAAUGCUUAGUAUAGGAUGCUAGUAUUCCAUCAAUGGCCCUACAUUCUUGUCUGUCUGCCAUGCUAUACUAUCGGGCCGUGAUCACUCGGGAGGUGAUCACGGGUAUAUACAUAUAUACAUACAUACUAUACAGGUGGUGACUAAAGUCGGCUCGGCUCGUAGAGUACCCGCAAGUGAUUCCAAUGUUGAGGGCCGUAGGGGCAGGUGGUUCCACCCAGGUAGUGGUGGGCCUGGGUUCCCGACGGCCCCCUACUGUUACUUUGUGGUGGAGCAACAGGGUAGGUUGAGACCACCUAGGUGAGAGGUGGGCCUGGCCCUAGUCGGCGUCCGCAGUUACUUCAAAAUAACACGCUUAACGAGAUCUUGGUAUUUGAUCUGAGUCUGGCCACUGGCCUAUACGCACUAACCAACUAUGCGGGAACAGUUAUGGGCACUGGACGUCGUGGUAUUAGCCGAAGCCUUCAUGAUGUCAUCGACUGAGCGGCGCAAGCCGGAUUGGGCUGGAACGCCUUCUCUUGUAUUAGGGAGGCUAGGUCUGUUUCCGGCCGCCCUCGCAAUGUGCAGGUUUGCAAUGUGCGAUGGGCCCAGACCCCUGCGCCAUAGAUUUAGACCGGCGUGCUGACCUCUCUGUUGUGCCUAGGUAGGGCUGCGACGUGUUGAUCUUUCGAGGCCGGGCAUGACCCAGGAAAGUGUGUCCAGCCAAAGGGAAUCGAGCGUGUUGGGAAAUGUGGUGCACCCCUGCAGGGAAGUUUAUCUAUUCGAAUAGCCGUGUCCCUCGGUAAAAGGACGACCUGGAGUUGUACCUUGAGCUUAUGACAACUAGAACCGGAUACUUAAUAAAAUACACCCUUCCAAGUGCCAGAUACAACCCGGUGAUCGCUCUCUCACAAGGCGAUGAGGGGAUGAUCGCCGGGUAGGAUUAUGCUAUGCGAUGAUACUUGGUUAACUUACCAUCUACUCUCUUCUACUACUUCAAGAUGAAGGCUUCCAGAAGCGUAGUCUUCGAUAGGACUAGUUAUCCCCCUCUUAUUCUUGCAUUCUGCAGUUCAGUCCACAUAUACUGCCCCUUUCAUUGAUACCAAUGCAUAUGUAGUGUAGAUCAUGGCUUGCGAGUACUUUGGAUAAGUACUCACGGUUGCUUUGCAUUUUCUUUUUCCCCUUUCCCCAGUUUUUGCGAUCAUAUGAUCGAGUCCAGGAGCCAGAGGAUCCCGAGGAUGAUUUCUACUUGGAGUUAGGCUUCGAGGAGUAGUUAGGAGGUCCCCGGCAGGAGGCCUUGCCUUUUCGAUCUAUAUCCCUGUUUGUGCUAGCCAUCUUAUGGAACUUGUUUAACUUAUGUCUGUACUCAGAUAUUGAUGCUUUCGCUGACUCUUGUGUAUUCAAGCUUAUGUAUUCGAGCCCUUGAGGCCCCUGGCUUGUAAUAUAAAGCUUGUAUUUUUUUAAUUGGUUUCUAGAUUUGUGUUGUGAUAUCUUCCCUUGAGUCCCUUAUCUUGGUCGUACACAUUGGCGUGCAUGAUUAGUGUACGAUCUAAUCAGGGGCGUCAUAAGUUGGUAUCAGAGCCGACUGCCUGUAGGAAUCCCCCUUCCAACUCCUUGGCUGAAGUUGAGUCUAGUCACUACAAAACUUUUACUAACAUGGCUAUGUGUCUUACGGGCUCACGUCGCCAUUGGGUGGUAUUAGGAUCUUUUACUCCUCGUCUACACUCUCGGACUCUGAUCUCUCUUCUAAUCGGGUUAAAAGAUUUUGCUAACUCUAACUCUAGGUUCUCAUAAUUACUUCCUUCCGGAGAGCCCCUUAUUACAGAUGAUCGCCUGCUGCACCAGAAGAUUCAGAAGGUACUCUCCGAUGUUAUCCCGAGAGCUUGUGCUCAUUGCGUUUGCAAUUCCCUUCCACCGUCAAACCCUAUACAUAACUACAUGCACUUGCCUUUCUUGCCUUAGUCCACAGUUGCUCUUGUUAUUACAAGAUACCCCGAAAUACUCGUUGUUGUUUUGAGAAUCCUUGUGCCUACUGCCUUGCAGUUCCUUGUCACCCUAAUACACCUAUAAAUUAAUCCUCACACACACAGAGAGGAUUUGUUUCUCCCUAGUUGUUCAUGUGUUUCACCAAAGUCUUUGAAAUACUAUUUGAUCUUUCGAAAAUCCUCAGCAGCUUAUUGCUCUUGAAAUUCUUGCUUGCUUGAAUUAUGGUUAAUCCCAUAAGUAUAGUAAUCUUAUUGGCAUCCUUUGUCACUAUCAUCUCAAGUUCCCUGAUUCAAUAUGUUGCGAAUGCUCGCAAUCAAUAGUUGAUCCUUAUAAAUUAUCUUUCCGACUUCGCCGUCAUUUUUAACUAGAGCUGGUUCUCGACCAAUCAAAUUGCCGUCGAUUGUACCCCUAAGCCUACUCGACUUAUCCAUCCUUAUCAGAGCGUUUGCUUCCCUUGGUGAGAAAUCAUAAUUCCUUUACAUUUGAGCUUUGAAUUAUUCGAUUGUUUCUAUACCCCAAUGCCUUUGCAUUGUUUCUUCUUCUGAUUGUGUGCCGAUGCUCACAUCAGCUCUGUUGUGAACCGUCAGAUCCUUUGUUGAAUUAUCAAUCCGAUAGUGUCCUUUGUAUACAAAAACCUCAAGGGGUUCUUUCCCUGAUACAUAAUGCCAUUGGUAAAUUCUAUUCUCUGAUAUGGCCGACGAUGCUUUGCUUUCGAGCUUGAUUUAUUUACUUCUGAACUUUGUAGUAAAUGUUCCUAAGAUACCCGAUGGGUUGGACCAAUGCCUUCCCUAAUCUGUGCAAACCCGCGAGUUUUCACGAGUCAUAUUCUCUUGGUGUUUUGCCAGAUAAAAUAUCAACACUACAACCUCAUUGAAAGCGAGAAGUGAGUGGAAGGUUUUGCAUUGAAGAAGUGGGAGUCGACCUUGAACUUUCUGUUCAUGCCCAUGGAGGCGAUGUAGAUCCUAUCAUGGAAGCUUCUUGAUAUAAUAAUAAUCCCCUUGUGAUAAGUUCAUCUUGUAUCUAUGCUUGUUCCUUUGCAACCGUGGUUCCGACCAUAUUGUUCUCCUUUAAUUACCAUUUCCUGUGCAAGUUUAAGCACUUGUCUUCUAUGGAGCAAUACCCCAGUCCAACCUCUACUUUGAUCUGUCGUCGAGUAUUAACCCUGGUAUUUCGAGAUUAUCAGGAGCAACAUAACUUCUUAUGAGUUCUUCAUCAAGUACUACAUUCUCACCGAUUCCAAUUUUUCCUGGGUUCUGAUUGGUUAGUCACUCGAGUACACUGAUAACUGAAUCGUGUCCAUUCAACGAUUCAACCAUUCUCAGCAAUCUUCCUUGCUUACGAGUUUGUACCCGAUCACUUCAUUCCUAGUCUGAUUGGCUAUAUCAUUAUCGUAUUGAUUUUAACUAUGCUACCUGGUCCUUAUCCUCGGAGCACAACUUUCGAUGGUGAGCUAAUCUUAUGUCGAUUUGCCUUGUCAUAUCAUUUCUCCUUGAACAACAAGCUUGAUUUCGAGUUUGUGCCGUACCCUUGGUUCCGAUAACAUUUCUCUAAAUGUUAUUCCUUUGACUUGAUGUCAUCGCCGACCGAUUACAUCUUCAUGAAUUCUCCCGACACAUGUGUCGUGAUCAUCAUCAACAUACUGAGCUCUUCCAAGAUAUCUAUUGAAUUCGUGAUGAGAAAUACCAUCCUUGCCCCCCGAUGAUUUGUGUUAUCAUUGACAACAUUCUGGCCUUCCCCCAACACAAACUUGUUCAUGUUUUGAGUUGUAUCUUGAUUUCCUUGCUAUCUAGCUUAUAUUGUGUUCUACCUUGAAAUAUUACCAUCUGUAUGUCGAGGAUGUUGUGAGAAUUUUUCCACCUCUUGAGAAUUCUUGUCGUAGAAAUACUUCUCGCCAUCUUCGUUCAUUUCUUGGUCCCCGUGUUGAUUCUAACCGGGAUAUCAACAAGUGAACGGUGCUGUUUGGAUUCUGUACUUCUAGCAACCCUAUUGCUUUGAAUUCAAUGGUCGAUAGUUCAUUCAUAGACUAUUGGUUAUCGAAUCACCAGUCUAACAUUGAUCAUGCUACCUAAGCCCAUAUUUCGGGUGCACCUUUCAACCAAUGGUUAAUUGUGUAUAAUUUCCUUGAGCAUACCUCAUUAUAUCAUUUGAUUUGACAAAUGUUAUCUCUUUGUUCACAUAAUUGUGGAAAUCCAUCUUUUGGAAAUCCCAAUGAUUUGUUGCUGAGUUCAUCAGCCACCUCCUCAUCCUCUCCUUGGUUUACUGAUGAACUCUUAUUUCGAAACUCGCUUCCAUAGUUCAUUUCCUGAGAAUCUUAUGAGGUCUUCUCGUCAAUUCGUGACGUACCUUUUUAUCUCAGGCAUCCCGAGUCUGAGGUAUCCUGACCCCAAUCAGAUCUGAAACUCGGUCAGAUAUGAUGGUUGGAAUAUUUUCCAAGAGUUAUAACAUUGGUCGUUAUAUGAGCCGGUAAGGUGGUGACAUGCCUAGCACACUUGGCCGGAGGACCUAUUGUUAUAGCUUCCUUUUUAGCAAGGUUAACAAUUCUUUCAUGAGAAAAUUGUAAGACUUAUUCUGUAAGUUGUUUGCGAUGGAUCCUUUGUGUUUCCAAAGUCUGAUCUUCACUUGUUGACCAUGCCAAUGCUAUCUCGAAGCAUGUCCAUGGUACUCCGAUUUUCAGCAAGGACAUUUGAAGCCCAAUGUUAAAUGUUUCCUGCUCGAUUAUCUAAACACCGUUGUAUGGGUAAUGUCAUGAAAAUUCACUCCCCCACCUAAAGAGGUUUCUACAUUAUAUCAUGUCAUGGAUAUCAUGCUCUGCUUGUCCUUCCGAAGGAUAUACCCUUGAAAUAUGUGUUUAAACACAUUUUCCUUUCCAUUAUUCUAUUUAAUUUGAUAAUCAUAUUAUCCCUUCCAUUGUUUGGUUUAACCUUUCUUGAGGUCUAUAUGAUCUAAGCAGUAAUAUUCUCCUACUUAUGUAAACACCUCGACGUACAAUUCUGUCAGCAAGACCCUGUUACUAUUGUUGAAAACAUUCCGGUGACCACCGGUGGACGAUAACCUUGCCUACUGGUCCGCCUCAUUCAACGAGCAGGAAAAUGGUUCUCUUCGUCUCUCGCCCUUGGUACCGAUGUUGUUGUCAACAUAAUUGACAUGCUAUCCUCUUACCUGCCUUGCUAUCAUGACCGUGCUAAAUGUUAGCGCCCUUCCUGCUUUUAACCCACAUGGUGGGCCCAUAAACCACAGUUCCACUGGAUCGAAACCCGACUCUCCUAUACAUUCCCGUUUUCCAAAAUUGUUCCUUGCACUUGGAUUUAUAUGUAAAUCAGGAGCCACCUUCCUAGUGAUCGAUUCUGGUAUCAGACACAACACUUAAUUCCCAUCGCUCUGAACCCCCUUUCACCCUUUGUUUUGGGUAACGAACGAUUGCCUACCCAGUUGAAGCUUCUUAUUGCACCUCCUUACCUUGCUCUCGAUGACAUUCUUGAAUUUCAACUCGAGAGAUGCCUCUAUGCCAUGUUCACUGAGAUAGCCCCCAGGUACCUAUCUUGUGUUGAGCUCCGUCCUUCCCGAGUCCUUCCCCCUUACUCCACCCCUUAAAUCUCGGGACAAGAUUUCUUUUAGUGGAGGAGAUUUGUGACGCCCGGAUAAUUAAGCUAUAGUAACCCUCUACUAAUGAUGCCACGUCACCAUUGUUACUGUUACUAAACUCACUCCGGUUAAAAUCCCGUUCGAAUUCAAAAUUUGAAAUCAAGUCAAAUGGUAAAGGUUUUCAAAUAUUAAAAUUAAAAUGUUGGGUGGGUUGCAAAUAUUCAGUAACAAUAUUUCAUGAAAUAAUUAACAUGAUUCAAAAUAUAAAAUUUCCCCUGGACAUUAAACAAUGGAUCAACAUCCGUUUAACCAACCAUUUCAAUUUAUGAAAAUGUUUAGACGAUUCCAAUUCUUGUGAGACUUUUUGUACAUCACCAAAAUAUUGCAAUGGAAUUACGUGCCAAGUUUCAACACUGGAAAAAUUUAUCUAGUACACAAACUAAAUGUAAAAUAGUGAACAAAAUACAAAAAAAUAAAAGCA
rnacentral:lncRNA from 1 species